rnacentral:rRNA from 1 species
UACGUAGGGUGCAAGCGUUGUCCGGAAUUAUUGGGCGUAAAGAGCUCGUAGGCGGUUUGUCGCGUCUGCUGUGAAAACUCGGGGCUUAACCCCGGGCCUGCAGUGGGUACGGGCAGACUAGAGUGCGGUAGGGGAGACUGGAAUUCCUGGUGUAGCGGUGAAAUGCGCAGAUAUCAGGAGGAACACCGGUGGCGAAGGCGGGUCUCUGGGCCUGUUCUGACGCUGAGGCGCGAAAGCUAGGGGAGCGAACAGG